AUUGAACGCUGGCGGCAUGCCUUACACAUGCAAGUCGAACGGCAGCGCGGGUGCUUGCACCUGGUGGCGAGUGGCGAACGGGUGAGUAAUACAUCGGAACAUGUCCUGUAGUGGGGGAUGGCCCGGCGAAAGCCGGAUUAAUACCGCAUACGAUCUACGGAUGAAAGCGGGGGACCUUCGGGCCUCGCGCUAUAGGGUUGGCCGAUGGCUGAUUAGCUAGUUGGUGGGGUAAAGGCCUACCAAGGCGACGAUCAGUAGCUGGUCUGAGAGGACGACCAGCCACACUGGGACUGAGACACGGCCCAGACUCCUACGGGAGGCAGCAGUGGGGAAUUUUGGACAAUGGGCGAAAGCCUGAUCCAGCAAUGCCGCGUGUGUGAAGAAGGCCUUCGGGUUGUAAAGCACUUUUGUCCGGAAAGAAAUCCUUGGCUCUAAUACAGUCGGGGGAUGACGGUACCGGAAGAAUAAGCACCGGCUAACUACGUGCCAGCCGCCGCCGUAACAC
rnacentral:rRNA from 1 species